rnacentral:rRNA from 1 species
CGCGUAGGCGGCUUCGCUAGUCGGGCGUGAAAUGCCCGGGCUUAACCCGGGAAUUGCGUUCGAUACUUCGAGGCUAGAGUGUGGGAGAGGAUAGUGGAAUUCCCAGUGUAGAGGUGAAAUUCGUAGAUAUUGGGAAGAACACCGGUGGCGAAGGCGGCUAUCUGGACCACAACUGACGCUGAGGCGCGAAAGCGUGGGGAGCAAACAGGAUUAGAUACCCUGGUAGUCCACGCUGUAAACGAUGUGUGCUUGACGUCGGAGGGCAUAGCCCAUCGGUGUCGGAGCUAACGCGGUAAGCACACCGCCUGGGGAGUACGGUCGCAAGAUUAAA